GAUGAACGCUGACAGAAUGCUUAACACAUGCAAGUCUACUUGAACUUCGGUUUGGGUGCGGACGGGUGAGUAACGCGUAAAGAACUUGCCUCACAGUUAGGGACAACAUUUGGAAACGAAUGCUAAUACCUGAUAUUAUGAUUUUAGGGCAUCCUAAGAUUAUGAAAGCUAUAUGCGCUGUGAGAGAGCUUUGCGUCCCAUUAGCAAGUUGGAGAGGUAACGGCUCACCAAGGCGAUGAUGGGUAGCCGGCCUGAGAGGGUGAACGGCCACAAGGGGACUGAGACACGGCCCUUACUCCUACGGGAGGCAGCAGUGGGGAAUAUUGGACAAUGGACCAAAAGUCUGAUCCAGCAAUUCUGUGUGCACGAUGACGUUUUUCGGAAUGUAAAGUGCUUUCAGUUGGGAAGAAAAAAAUGACGGUACCAACAGAAGAA
rnacentral:rRNA from 1 species